UACGUAGGUGGCAAGCGUUGUCCGGAUUUAUUGGGUUUAAAGGGUGCGUAGGCGGUCCUGUAAGUCAGUGCUGAAAUAUCCCGGCUUAACCGGGAGGGUGGCAUUGAUACUGUAGGACUUGAGUGAAGUCGAGGUAGGCGGAAUUGACGGUGUAGCGGUGAAAUGCUUAGAUAUCGUCAAGAACACCGAUAGUGUAGACAGCUUACUAGGCUUUAACUGACGCUGAGGCACGAAAGUGUGGGGAGCAAACAGG
rnacentral:rRNA from 1 species